rnacentral:rRNA from 1 species
AGAUUGAACGCUGGCGGCAUGCUUUACACAUGCAAGUCGAGCGGCAGCGCGGGGCAACCUGGCGGCGAGCGGCGAACGGGUGAGUAAUGCAUCGGAACAUGUCCAUGUCGUGGGGGAUAGCCCGGCGAAAGCCGGAUUAAUACCGCAUACGCCCGAGAGGGGAAAGUGGGGGACCGCAAGGCCUCACGCGAUUGGGUUGGCCGAUGUCCGAUUAGCUAGUUGGCGGGUAAGAGCCCACCAAGGCGAUGAUCGGUAGCUGGUCUGAGAGGAUGAUCAGCCACACUGGGACUGAGACACGGCCCAGACUCCUACGGGAGGCAGCAGUGGGGAAUUUUGGACAAGUGGGGCAACCCGUGAUCCAGCCAUUCCGCGUGAGUGAAGAAGGCCUUCGGUGUAAGUCUCUUUGUCCGGAACGAAACGGUAGACGUGAAUAUACGCUGUCUACUGACGGUACGGAAGAAUAAGCGACCGACGUAACUACGUCG